GAUGAACGCUGGCGGCGUGCCUAAUACAUGCAAGUCGAGCGAAUGGAUUAAGCGCUUGCUCUUAUGAAGUUAGCGGCGGACGGGUGAGUAACACGUGGGUAACCUGCCCAUAAGACUGGGAUAACUCCGGGAAACCGGGGCUAAUACCGGAUAACAUUUUGAACCGCAUGGUUCGAAAUUGAAAGGCGGCUUCGGCUGUCACUUAUGGAUGGACCCGCGUCGCAUUAGCUAGUUGGUGAGGUAACGGCUCACCAAGGCAACGAUGCGUAGCCGACCUGGGAGGGUGAUCGGCCAGACUGGGACUGGGAGACGGCCCAGACUCCUACGGGAGGCAGCAGUAGGGAAUCUUCCGCAAUGGACGAAAGUCUGACGGAGCAACGCCGCGUGAGUGAUGAAGGCUUUCGGGUCGUAAAACUCUGUUGUUAGGGAAGAACAAGUGCUAGUUGAAUAAGCUGGCACCUUGACGGUACCUAACCAGAAAGCCACGGCUAACUACGUGCCAGCAGCCGCAGUAA
rnacentral:rRNA from 1 species